rnacentral:rRNA from 1 species
CCUACGGGGUGCAGCAGUGAGGAAUAUUGGUCAAUGGCCGGAAGGCUGAACCAGCCAAGCCGCGUGAAGGAUGAAGGUGCCAAGCAUUGUAAACUUCUUUUGUCAAGGGAUAAAAUCAGGCACGAGAGCCUGACCGCGUGUACUUGAAGAAAAAGCAUCGGCUAACUCCGUGCCAGCAGCCGCGGUAAUACGGAGGAUGCGAGCGUUAUCCGGGUUUAUUGGGUUUAAGGGGUGCGUAGGCGGACUGUUAAGUCAGCGGGAAAAGUCCGGGGCUCAACCGAGACGAGCCGUUGAAUCGGGCUGUCUUGAGAUGUGGAGAGGUAUGCGGAAUGCGCAGUGUAGCGGUGAAAUGCUUAGAUAUUGCGCAGAACUCCGAUUGCGAAGGCAGCAUACCGGCGGCGAUCUGACGCUGAGGCACGAAAGCGUGGGUAUCGAACAGGAUUAGAUACCCCUGUAGUC